rnacentral:rRNA from 1 species
GUCUAAAGCCAUACCAACCUGAAUGUUCCUGAUCUUGUUUGAUACCAGAAGCUAAGCAGGGUUGGUCCUGAUUCGUACUUGGGUGGGAUACUGCCUGGGAAUACCUGUUGCUAUAGGCU